rnacentral:rRNA from 1 species
AACGAACGCUGGCGGCAGGCCUAACACAUGCAAGUCGAGCGAAGUCUUCGGACUUAGCGGCGGACGGGUGAGUAACGCGUGGGAAUAUGCCCUUCUCUACGGAAUAGCCUCGGGAAACUGGGAGUAAUACCGUAUACGACCUUUGGGGGAAAGAUUUAUCGGAGAAGGAUUAGCCCGCGUUGGAUUAGGUAGUUGGUGGGGUAAUGGCCUACCAAGCCGACGAUCCAUAGCUGGUUUGAGAGGAUGAUCAGCCACACUGGGACUGAGACACGGCCCAGACUCCUACGGGAGGCAGCAGUGGGGAAUCUUAGACAAUGGGCGCAAGCCUGAUCUAGCCAUGCCGCGUGAUUGAUGAAGGCCCUAGGGUUGUAAAGAUCUUUCAGCUGGGAAGAUAAUGACGGUACCAGCAGAAGAAGCCCCGGCUAACUCCGUGCCAGCCGCCGCCGUAA